GCUGGUGAACCCUGAAUGGACUCAGGAUGUGAAACACACAGUACUGGCCCCAGAUAGCUGAGGAAUGUUGCCCUUGCCGCACAAGUGCAUUCCAUCCCUUGCCUUGGAAUGGGACCCCUCUUUCAGCAAAGAGUGAUCCCACAGAGAUGCUGGCCCCACCAGUACCAAGAGGAUACCACUUCACCACCAGCCUCAGAACUCACAGAUAUUUUUGAAUUUGCAUCGCUAAGAGAUAGAAUCGGAUGGAACAAGCUUAGGCCAAAUGAGACAAGAACUGAGGAAGAAGAACCAACCUGACAUCUUGAAGAAGAACUGAUCUGACAUUUUGUUGCUGUGACUUGAGCCGCCUACUUCUCAUCAGCAAAGAUGGGAAACAACCACCAACUCAGCUGAAGAUGCCGUUACGAUUCUCCCUUCAUUGUCUCUUUGUGGUCGCAAGCUGGUUGCUAGAUCUCCAGCCAUCUCAACCAUAUUCCAGCCAGGUCAAAGAGGGGC
ensembl:lncRNA